AUAGUACUCCCUCCAUUCUGAAUUAUUUGUUGCAGAUAUGGAUGUAUCUAGAUGUAUUUUAGUUCUAGAUGCAUCCAUUUCUGCGACCAGUAAUUUGGAACGGAGGGAGUAUUAA
rfam:Triticum urartu cultivar G1812 contig644861, whole genome shotgun sequence.